GAUGAACGCUGGCGGCGUGCCUAACACAUGCAAGUCGAGCGAACGAACGGGGCUUGCUCCUGGAUUCAGCGGCCGACGGGUGGGUAAUGCCCAGGAAUCUACCUGGCCGAUGGGGCUAACAUCCGGACACGGGCGCUAAUCCCGCAUCCGUUAUGAUGGUGAACGGGAGGGUUCUUCGGUGCUCACGCUAUCUGCUGACCCUAGGACGCAUUAGCUAGUUGGUGGGGUAAGGGCUUACCAAGGCGACGAUCCGUAACUGAUCUGAGAGGGUGAUCUGCCACACUGGAACUGAGACACGGUCCAGACUCCUACGGGAGGCAGCAGUGGGGAAUAUUCGGCAAUGGGCGAAAGCCUGAUGCAGCCACGCCGCGUGAGUGAUGAAGGUCUUCGGAUCGUAAAGCUCUGUUAGUUGGGAAGAACAACUGUGUGAGUAUACCUGGCUGUCUUGACGGUACCAACAGAGAAAGCACCGGCUAACUUCGUG
rnacentral:rRNA from 1 species